rnacentral:tRNA from 1 species
UGUUCAGUGGCUUAGUAUGUUUAAGCGCCGGACUAGCGAUACGGAGUCGUAGGUUCAAAUCACAUCAAAACAA